GUGCUCGCGUCAGCAGCACAUCUACUAAAAUUAGAACGAUACAAAGAUUAGCAUGGCCACUGCACAAGGAUGAUGCACAAAUUUGUGAAGUAUUCCAUAUUUUG